rnacentral:rRNA from 1 species
UCAAAAACAUGUCUAUAUGAUUGUUAUAUAAAGUCUGGCCUGCCCACUGAUUUAUUUUUUAAAGGGCCGCGGUAUACUGACCGUGCGAAGGUAGCAUAAUCACUAGUCUUUUAAUUGGAGGCUUGUAUGAAUGGUUGGACAAGAAGCAAGCUGUCUCAGUUGUAAUAAUUGAAAUUAACUUUUAAGUGAAAAGGCUUAAAUAAAUUAAGGGGACGAUAAGACCCUAUAAAGCUUAACAAUAAGUUGUCUAUAUUAUAAAUUGUUAGUAUAACUUGAUAUCAGACGGCGUUUGUUGCGUUGGGGCGACGAGAAUAUAAGAGGUAACUGUUUUUAGAUUAUUUAAUAACAGAAAUAUCUGGAAAUUUAAUGAUCCUUUUUUAGAGAUCAUAAGAUUAAGUUACUUUAGGGAUAACAGCGUAAUCUUCCUUGAGAGUUCAUAUCGACAGGAAGGGUUGCGACCUCGAUGUUGAAUUAAGGUAUCCUUAUGAUGCAGCAGUUAUAAAGGAAGGUCUGUUCGACCUUUAAAUCCUUACGUGAUCUGAGUUCAGA